CCGCCUUGUUCCUCCUCUAUCUUCCUGAGGAGGAUGCAUUCUGGGCACUGGUGCAGCUGCUGGCCAGUGAGAGGCACUCCCUGCAGGGAUUUCACAGCCCAAAUGGCGGGACCGUCCAGGGGCUCCAAGACCAACAGGAGCAUGUGGUAGCCACGUCACAACCCAAGACCAUGGGGCAUCAGGUGAGUUUAUGGUCCCCUCAGCUCUUCCCAGAGGCCCUGCCUCCCGUGGGGCUGUAGGAGCAGGGGGGCUGGAGCCCCUCGUGGGGCUGGUGACUGGCUGAGUCCCAGCCAGGGCCUGACCUGGGACGUCGGGUUCUCCAUGGGCUGGGAGUUGGUUUCCUUUCCUGCCCUGGAGGAGACAGAGGCACAGGGAUGGGGGCCCAGCUCCCGCAGAGCAGGGCAAAGGGCAGUGUGUCCACCGGGAGUGUGGGAAGGUGACAGUGUUGUGGGGAGCUCUGGACACCGCCCAGUGUUCUGCACUAGGGGAAG
rnacentral:lncRNA from 1 species